rnacentral:misc_RNA from 1 species
UGCAUAUCAAACAAAAGGGGUUAAAAAUAUUGUUCUGUACACUUGGCCAGUCAGGGCCACCCAUCAGGACUGUUGAAUCAAGUAAAACUCAGUCUGCUAAAUACAAUUCCUCAGUCUAUUUCCUACACAUUUACAAUCGCCAAAACUUGUCACCAAUUACUAAAAAGAUUAAUGGAAUCUCAACAGUUAGAUUGUAAUAAAAAAUGGAAUUAAAAAAUCUUCCAAGUCUGCUGGCGUUGAAUUCAAUUCUGUGCUCUGCCUUCUCUCACCUUACAGUGACCCAACUCUCAGAAAAAGACCAGUUGCAAACCUCAUCACUAGCCAGCUGCCGGAGUCUCUCCGCCGGUGAAGGUGAAUAUGACAAAGAGGACCAAUCAAAUCUUGAAUUCACUUCCUUGUUAGACCAUAAUUCAGUCUUUGGUGAUGAAGAUGGAACUGAAACCCACUCUGGGUACUCGAAUGGACAUCUUGGUGAUGAUGAUGGAGAUGAUUGCUUACUCUCCUUCAAUGUAACAGUGUUUUCAGUAGCAACAAAAGGAUGAUCCAAUAACAUAUCAGCCGUCCAUCUCGUUCUAGGAUCCUUAACAAAGCAUUUGGAUAGAAAAUCCUUCCCUUCUUUGGACAAUUCUUGAGGGAUUUCUGGCAAUUCAUCUCCUACUCCAAUACGAAUCAUCAAGGCUGCUAUGUUUGUUUCCGGCUUGCAAUUCCAUGCUGGUUUUCCAGUCACCAUCUCAACCAACGCACACCCAAGAGCCCAAAUAUCACACGGUGAAUCGUACUCGUUUUCGUUGACUGAUUCCGGCGACAUGUACAGAGGAGUUCCUCGAAAUACCAUUCUCCCCUGUUCUCCACUCUGUUUUUGCCCUGUUUUCUUGGCCAAUCCAAAGUCGGCAAUCUUCACUUCGCCAUUCUCAAACAACAAUAUAUUUUCAAGCUUUAUGUCACAGUGAGCAAACCCUUUAGCGUGGAUAUAACGAAGGCCCUUUAGUAUCGAUCUUGUGUAGCGUCUGGCUUCCGAUUCCCGCAAGCAACCACCAGAGUUCUUUACCCAAUGAGAUAAAUUGCCACCAGAGGCAUACUCCAACAGCAAGCUAUACAACCUCUGGCCGUUUUCAACACUCUGAUCGCCGCCGAAACACUGGAUGAUAUGCUCACAAUACCCAAGUUGGCUCAAAACAUCCUUCUCAUUCUCAAGCAAGGAAGAGUCAAAAAGAUCACAAGAUUUCACAGCCAUUAAAGGAGAAGAGGAGGAUUUCGUGGGAAUUGCCAAAUUAACAGUGGAAAAGCUACCACAACCGAUACAAUCUCCGCGAACCCAAUCCAUGGGAGCAAGAAGCAGAAGCAGAAGCAGAAGCAGAAGCAGAAGCAGAAGC